GAUGAACGCUGGCGGCGUGCCUAAUACAUGCAAGUCGAGCGAACGGACGAGAAGCUUGCUUCUCUGAUGUUAGCGGCGGACGGGUGAGUAACACGUGGAUAACCUACCUAUAAGACUGGGAUAACUUCGGGAAACCGGAGCUAAUACCGGAUAAUAUUUUGAGCCGCAUGGUUCAAAAGUGAAAGACGGUCUUGCUGUCACUUAUAGAUGGAUCCGCGCUGCAUUAGCUAGUUGGUAAGGUAACGGCUUACCAAGGCAACGAUGCAUAGCCGACCUGAGAGGGUGAUCGGCCACACUGGAACUGAGACACGGUCCAGACUCCUACGGGAGGCAGCAGUAGGGAAUCUUCCGCAAUGGGCGAAAGCCUGACGGAGCAACGCCGCGUGAGUGAUGAAGGUCUUCGGAUCGUAAAACUCUGUUAUUAGGGAAGAACAUAUGUGUAAGUAACUGUGCACAUCUUGACGGUACCUAAUCAGAAAGCCACGGCUAACUACGUGCCAGCAGCCGCGGUAAUACGUAGGUGGCAAGCGUUAUCCGGAAUUAUUGGGCGUAAAGCGCGCGUAGGCGGUUUUUUAAGUCUGAUGUGAAAGCCCACGGCUCAACCGUGGAGGGUCAUUGGAAACUGGAAAACUUGAGUGCAGAAGAGGAAAGUGGAAUUCCAUGUGUAGCGGUGAAAUGCGCAGAGAUAUGGAGGAACACCAGUGGCGAAGGCGACUUUCUGGUCUGUAACUGACGCUGAUGUGCGAAAGCGUGGGGAUCAAACAGGAUUAGAUACCCUGGUAGUCCACGCCGUAAUCGAUGAGUGCUAAGUGUUAGGGGGUUUCCGCCCCUUAGUGCUGCAGCUAACGCAUUAAGCACUCCGCCUGGGGAGUACGACCGCAAGGUUGAAACUCAAAGGAAUUGACGGGGACCCGCACAAGCGGUGGAGCAUGUGGUUUAAUUCGAAGCAACGCGAAGAACCUUACCAAAUCUUGACAUCCUUUGACAACUCUAGAGAUAGAGCCUUCCCCUUCGGGGGACAAAGUGACAGGUGGUGCAUGGUUGUCGUCAGCUCGUGUCGUGAGAUGUUGGGUUAAGUCCCGCAACGAGCGCAACCCUUAAGCUUAGUUGCCAUCAUUAAGUUGGGCACUCUAAGUUGACUGCCGGUGACAAACCGGAGGAAGGUGGGGAUGACGUCAAAUCAUCAUGCCCCUUAUGAUUUGGGCUACACACGUGCUACAAUGGACAAUACAAAGGGCAGCGAAACCGCGAGGUCAAGCAAAUCCCAUAAAGUUGUUCUCAGUUCGGAUUGUAGUCUGCAACUCGACUACAUGAAGCUGGAAUCGCUAGUAAUCGUAGAUCAGCAUGCUACGGUGAGUACGUUCCCGGGUCU
rnacentral:rRNA from 1 species